ACAAAAUAGUCUCCCCCCUUUUUCAUUUUACCCUAAAACACAAAAUUUUCAAUACAACAACCAUUUGCUCCUACUACUACACAAAGGGGGACCUCUAAAAUUGCUCUACAACAUUCAAAAGCUACUUUAAAGGCUACAAUCAAAGCUUCAAAUUUGAAACCAAGCACGACUUAGACAGGGUAGGGAGACCCAGAUCGGAUCGACUCGACGCGAGCGGACGACACAGCUAGCAUCGACACGGGGAUGGGGUCGAGUACAAGUACCCGUCCAGGGAGUUAGAGUUAGACAUACUCAGUAGCAGUUGCUUAUUUAUGUUUUAUUCUUGACUUUUUUGUAUUCGGGUUGUAUUAUUUUGUCACUGAGCACUUACCUGUACAACUAUUUUUGUAUUUAUAAUAUUGGUAUUUUAUUCA